rnacentral:rRNA from 1 species
UUACACAUGCAAGUCGAGCGGUAAGGCCCUUCGGGGUACACGAGCGGCGAACGGGUGAGUAACACGUGAGCAACCUGCCCCUGACUCCGGGAUAAGCGGUGGAAACGCCGUCUAAUACCGGAUAUGACACACCAUCUCCUGGUGGUGUGUGGAAAGUUUUGUCGGUCAGGGAUGGGCUCGCGGCCUAUCAGCUAGUUGGUGGGGUAAAGGCCUACCAAGGCGAUUACGGGUAGCCGGCCUGAGAGGGCGACCGGCCACACUGGGACUGAGACACGGCCCAGACUCCUGCGGGAGGCAGCAGUGGGGAAUAUUGCACAAUGGGCGAAAGCCUGAUGCAGCGACGCCGCGUGGGGGAUGACGGCCUUCGGGUUGUAAACCUCUUUUACCACCAACGCAGGCCCCGGGUUCUCUCGGGGUUGACGGUAGGUGGGGAAUAAGGACCGGCUAACUACGUGCCAGCAGCCGCGGUAAUGC